GAUGAACGCUGGCGGCGUGCCUAAUACAUGCAAGUCGAGCGAACAGACGAGGAGCUUGCUCCUCUGACGUUAGCGGCGGACGGGUGAGUAACACGUGGAUAACCUACCUAUAAGACUGGGAUAACUUCGGGAAACCGGAGCUAAUACCGGAUAACCUGUUGAACCGCAUGGUUCAACAGUGAAAGACGGUCUUGCUGUCACUUAUAGAUGGAUCCGCGCCGCAUUAGCUAGUUGGUAAGGUAACGGCUUACCAAGGCAACGAUGCGUAUCCGACCUGAGAGGGUGAUCGGCCACACUGGAACGGGGCCACGGUCCAGACUCCUACGGGAGGCAGCAGUAGGGAAUCUUCCGCAAUUGGCGAAAGCCUGACGGAGCAACGCCGCGUGAGUGAAGAAGGUCUUCGGAUCGUAAAACUCUGUUAUUAGGGAAGAACAAAUGUGUAAGUAACUAUGCACGUCUUGACGGUACCUAAUCAGAAAGCCACGGCUAACUACGUG
rnacentral:rRNA from 1 species